rnacentral:rRNA from 1 species
AAACUGGCAAACUAGAGUAUAGGAGAGGAAAGUGGAAUUUCAGGUGUAGCGGUGAAAUGCGUAGAUAUCUGAAGGAACAUCAAUGGCGAAGGCAGCUUUCUGGACUAAUACUGACACUGAGGUACGAAAGCGUGGGUAGCAAACAGGAUUAGAUACCCUGGUAGUCCACGCCGUAAACGAUGAUAACUAGCCGUUGGGAGGAUUUACCUCUUAGUGGCGAAGCUAACGCGUUAAGUUAUCCGCCUGGGGAGUACGGCCGCAAGGUUAAAACUCAAAGGAAUUGACGGGGACCCGCACAAGCGGUGGAGCAUGUGGUUUAAUUCGAUGCAACGCGAAGAACCUUACCUGGUCUUGACAUACAGAGAACUUUCUAGAGAUAGAUUGGUGCCUUCGGGAACUCUGAUACAGGUGCUGCAUGGCUGUCGUCAGCUCGUGUCGUGAGAUGUUGGGUUAAGUCCCGUAACGAGCGCAACCCUUAUCCUUAUUUGCCAGCACAUCAUGGUGGGAACUAUAGGGAGACUGCCGGUGAUAAACCGGAGGAAGGCGGGGACGACGUCAAGUCAUCAUGGCCCUUACGACCAGGGCUACACACGUGCUACAAUGGGAAGGACAAAGGGUUGCUAAGCCGCGAGGUGGUGCUAGUCUCAUAAACCUUUUCGUAGUCCGGAUCGGAGUCUGCAACUCGACUCCGUGAAGUCGGAAUCGCUAGUAAUCGUGAGUCAG